rnacentral:rRNA from 1 species
UACGGGGGGGGCAAGCGUUGUCCGGAAUUAUUGGGCGUAAAGCGCGCGCAGGCGGUUUCUUAAGUCUGAUGUGAAAGCCCACGGCUUAACCGUGGAAGGUCAUUGGAAACUGGGAGACUUGAGUGCAGAAGAGAAGAGCGGAAUUCCACGUGUAGCGGUGAAAUGCGUAGAGAUGUGGAGGAACACCAGUGGCGAAGGCGGCUCUUUGGUCUGUAACUGACGCUGAGGCGCGAAAGCGUGGGUAGCAAACGGG